UCUGUCGCAGGGGAGAUGGCUG
rnacentral:miRNA from 1 species